UGCAGUCGAGCGGUAGAGAGGUGCUUGCACCUCUUGAGAGCGGCGGACGGGUGAGUAAAGCCUAGGAAUCUGCCUGGUAGUGGGGGAUAACGCUCGGAAACGGACGCUAAUACCGCAUACGUCCUACGGGAGAAAGCAGGGGACCUUCGGGCCUUGCGCUAUCAGCUGAGCCUAGGUCGGAUUAGCUAGUUGGUGAGGUAAUGGCUCACCAAGGCGACGAUCCGUAACUGGUCUGAGAGGAUGAUCAGUCACACUGGAACUGAGACACGGUCCAGACUCCUACGGGAGGCAGCAGUGGGGAAUAUUGGACAAUGGGCGAAAGCCUGAUCCAGCCAUGCCGCGUGUGUGAAGAAGGUCUUCGGAUUGUAAAGCACUUUAAGUUGGGAGGAAGGGCAUUAACCUAAUACGUUAGUGUUUUGACGUUACCGACAGAAUAAGCACCGGCUAACUCUGUGCCAGCAGCCGCGGUAAUACAGAGGGUGCAAGCGUUAAUCGGAAUUACUGGGCGUAAAGCGCGCGUAGGUGGUUCGUUAAGUUGGAUGUGAAAUCCCCGGGCUCAACCUGGGAACUGCAUUCAAAACUGUCGAGCUAGAGUAU
rnacentral:rRNA from 1 species